rnacentral:rRNA from 1 species
AUUGAACGCUGGCGGCAUGCCUUACACAUGCAAGUCGAACGGUAACAGGUCUUCGGAUGCUGACGAGUGGCGAACGGGUGAGUAAUACAUCGGAACGUGCCCAGACGUGGGGGAUAACGAGGCGAAAGCUUUGCUAAUACCGCAUACGAUCUAAGGAUGAACGCAGGGGACCGCAAGGCCUUGCGCGUUUGGAGCGGCCGAUGGCAGAUUAGGUAGUUGGUGGGAUAAAAGCUUACCAAGCCGACGAUCUGUAGCUGGUCUGAGAGGACGACCAGCCACACUGGGACGGAGACACGGCCCAGACUCCUACGGGAGGCAGCAGUGGGGAAUUUUGGACAAUGGGCGAAAGCCUGAUCCAGCAAUGCCGCGUGCAGGAUGAAGGCCUUCGGGUUGUAAACUGCUUUUGUACGGAACGAAAAGGCUCUGGCUAAUACCUGGGGCACAUGACGGUACCGGAAGAAUAAGCACCGGCUAACUACGUG